GGCAAGAAUCGUGAGAUGGAGCAAAUCCCAGAAAUAACGUCCCAGUUCGGAUUGUAGUCUGCAACCCGGCUACAUGAAGCUGGAAUCGCUAGUAAUCGCGGAUCAGAAUGCCGCGGUGAAUACGUUCCCGGGUCUUGUACACACCGCCCGUCACACCAUGAGAGUUGGCAAUACCCAACGUACGUGAUCUAACCCGCAAGGGAGGAAGCGUCCUAAGGUAGGGUCAGCGAUUGGGGUGAAGUCGUAACAAGGUAAC
rnacentral:rRNA from 1 species